rnacentral:lncRNA from 1 species
UAGAAUUAGGGUUUGAUCUGACAGAAUUCCACGAGUUUUGUUGUUUAUCUGUUUCUGCAGGGGGUUAUCAGGAAAUAAGGAAGAAAGGCCCACAUGUCAGGAUUACAUAGAGAUAUCAACGCACCGCACGAUUUUACAUCAUCUAGAAGACUCCAGAAGCCACGAGACCGAAGCGGAGGCGAAACAGGGCCAGGCCCAGGGCGCCCGCCCUGGUAGCCUGGGCGCCCGCCCCCCUCUGGA